UACGGAGGGUGCGAGCGUUGUCCGGAAUCACUGGGCGUAAAGGGCGCGUAGGUGGCGCGGUCAGUCAACGGUGAAAGUUCGGGGCUCAACCCUGAAUCGGCCGUCGAUACUCCCGGGCUUGAGCACUGUAGAGGCUAAUGGAAUUCCGGGUGUAGCGGUGGAGUGCGUAGAGAUCCGGAAGAACACCGGUGGCGAAGGCGGUUAGCUGGGCAGUUGCUGACACUGAGGCGCGACAGCGUGGGGAGCAAACAGG
rnacentral:rRNA from 1 species